rnacentral:rRNA from 1 species
AGAGUUUGAUCCUGGCUCAGGAUGAACGCUAGCGGCAGGCUUAACACAUGCAAGUCGAGGGGUAUUGUAGCAAUACAAGAGACCGGCAAAACGGGUGCGGAACACGUACAGAAUCUACCUUUAUCUGGGGCAUAGCCCGGAGAAAUCCGGAUUAACUCCCCAUAAUAUAACAUAAUGGCAUCAUUGAGUUAUUAAAAAUUUAUUGGAUAAAGAUGACUGUGCGUCCCAUUAGCUAGUUGGUAGGGUAACGGCCUACCAAGGCGACGAUGGGUAGCUGGUGUGAGAGCACGACCAGCCACACGGGCACUGAGACACGGGCCCGACUCCUACGGGAGGCAGCAGUGAGGAAUAUUGGUCAAUGGGCGCAAGCCUGAACCAGCCAUGCCGCGUGAAGGAUGAAGGCCUUCUGGGUUGUAAACUUCUUUUACCUGGGAAGAAACCUCUGAUUUCUAUUAGAGUUGACGGUACCAGAGGAAUAAGCACCGGCUAACUCCGUGCCAGCAGCCGCGGUAAUACGGAGGGUGCAAGCGUUAUCCGGAUUUACUGGGUUUAAAGGGUGUGUAGGCGGGCUUUUAAGUCAGUGGUGAAAUCUCCGGGCUCAACCCGGAAACUGCCAUUGAUACUAUUAGUCUUGAAUUUUGUUGAGGUAGGCGGAAUAAGUCAUGUAGCGGUGAAAUGCAUAGAUAUGACUUAGAACACCAAUUGCGAAGGCAGCUUGCUAAACAAAUAUUGACGCUGAGGCACGAAAGCGUGGGGAUCAAACAGGAUUAGAUACCCUGGUAGUCCACGCCCUAAACGAUGAUUACUCGACAUACGCGAUACACAGUGUGUGUCUGAGCGAAAGCAUUAAGUAAUCCACCUGGGAAGUACGACCGCAAGGUUGAAACUCAAAGGAAUUGACGG